rnacentral:miRNA from 1 species
AGGCGUUUAAGCCACGGGACAGGGCCGCAGAUGGACACUGUUCACAGCCCAAAGGGUCUCCAAGCUGGGACCCUGCACCUGGUUCGUAGCCCCACU